CCUACGGGAGGCAGCAGUGGGGAAUCUUGGGCAAUGGGCGUAAGCCUGAUCUAGCCAUGCCGCGUGAGUGAUGAAGGCCUUAGGGUCGUAAAGCUCUUUCGCCAGAGAUGAUAAUGACAGUAUCUGGUAGAGAAACCCCGGCUAACUCCGUGCCAGCAGCCGCGGUAAUACGGAGGGGGUUAGCGUUGUUCGGAAUUACUGGGCGUAAAGCGCACGUCGGCGGAUUAGAAAGUUAGGGGUGAAAUCCCGGGGCUCAACCUCGGAACUGCCUCUAAAACUCCUAGUCUAGAGUUCGAGAGAGGUGAGUGGAAUUCCAAGUGUAGAGGUGAAAUUCGUAGAUAUUUGGAGGAACACUAGUGGCGAAGGCGGCUCACUGGCUCGAUACUGACGCUGAGGUGCGAAAGUGUGGGGAGCAAACAGGAUUAGAUACCCUGGUAGUCCACACCGUAAACGAUGAAUGCCAGUCGUCGGGUAGUAUACUGCUCGGUGACACACCUAACGGAUUAAGCAUUCCGCCUGGGGAGUACGGUCGCAAGAUUAAAACUCAAAGGAAUUGACGG
rnacentral:rRNA from 1 species